AACUGAAGAGUUUGAUCAUGGCUCAGAUUGAACGCUGGCGGCAGGCUUAACACAUGCAAGUCGAGCGGGGGAAGGUAGCUUGCUACCGGACCUAGCGGCGGACGGGUGAGUAAUGCUUAGGAAUCUGCCUAUUAGUGGGGGACAACAUCUCGAAAGGGAUGCUAAUACCGCAUACGUCCUACGGGAGAAAGCAGGGGAUCUUCGGACCUUGCGCUAAUAGAUGAGCCUAAGUCGGAUUAGCUAGUUGGUGGGGUAAAGGCCUACCAAGGCGACGAUCUGUAGCGGGUCUGAGAGGAUGAUCCGCCACACUGGGACUGAGACACGGCCCAGACUCCUACGGGAGGCAGCAGUGGGGAAUAUUGGACAAUGGGGGGAACCCUGAUCCAGCCAUGCCGCGUGUGUGAAGAAGGCCUUAUGGUUGUAAAGCACUUUAAGCGAGGAGGAGGCUACUUUAGUUAAUACCUAGAGAUAGUGGA
rnacentral:rRNA from 1 species